CAAGGCGUAGCUAUAAUACAAAAGCGCUCAGCUUACACCCGAGAGAUAUCUGCAAUUAACCAGAUCGCCUUGA
rnacentral:tRNA from 1 species